rnacentral:lncRNA from 1 species
UACCGGCAGAUGGAGGAGAGGAUCACCUGCCCCAUCUGCAUCGACGACCAGAUCAAGCUGGUGUUCCAGUGCGGGCACGGCUCCUGCCCGGACUGCAGCACGGCGCUGACCGUGUGCCCCAUCUGCCGCCAGGCCAUCCGCGAGAGGAUCCACAUCUUCGUCUGAGGGAGGAUCCACAUCUUUGUCUGAGGGAGGAUCCACAUCUUCGUCUGAGGGGGAAUCCACAUCUUCGUCUGAGGGAGGAUUCUGCUCCUCCCUGUGCCCCAUCUGCCACCAGGCCAUCCAGGAGAGGAUCCACAUCUUUGUCUGAGGAUCUGCUCCUUCCUCCUUCCAUCCGCGAGACGAUCCGCCUCUUCGAUCCGCCUCUUCGUCUGAGGGAGGAUCCGCCUCUUCGUCUGAGGGAGGAUCCGCCUCUUUGUCUGAGGGAGGAUCCACAUCUUUGAGGGAGGAUCCACAUCUUUGUCUGAGGGAGGAUCCGCGUCUUCCUCUGAGGAUUCUGCUCCUCCCUGUGCCCCAUCUGCCUCCAGGCCGUCCCAAGAGGAUCCCCAUCUUUGGCUGAGUGAGGAUGCUGCUCCUCCCUCCACCCAGGGCAGGAUCCCCAUCUUUGUCUGAGUGAGGAUCUGCUCCUCCCUGUGUCCCACCUGCCUCCCGGCUGUCUGGGAGAGGAUCCACAUCUUCCUCUGAGGAUUCUGCUCCUCCCUGGCCCUGACUGU